UACGUAGGUGGCGAGCGUUAUCCGGAAUCAUUGGGCGUAAAGAGGGAGCAGGCGGCAGUGCAGGUCUGCGGUGAAAGCCCGAAGCUAAACUUCGGUAAGCCGUGGAAACCGCACAGCUAGAGAGCAUCAGAGGAUCGCGGAAUUCCAUGUGUAGCGGUGAAAUGCGUAGAUAUAUGGAGGAACACCAGUGGCGAAGGCGGCGGUCUGGGGUGCAGCUGACGCUCAGUCCCGAAAACGUGGGGAGCAAAUAGG
rnacentral:rRNA from 1 species